rnacentral:rRNA from 1 species
GACGAACGCUGGCGGCGUGCUUAACACAUGCAAGUCGAGCGGUAAGGCCCUUUCGGGGGUACACGAGCGGCGAACGGGUGAGUAACACGUGGGUGACCUGCCCUCAGCUCUGGGAGUAAGCCUGGGAAACCGGGUCUAAUACCGGAUAUGACUCCAUGACGCAUGUUGUGGGGUGGAAAGCCUUGUGCGGCUGAGGAUGGGCCCGCGGCCUAUCAGCUUGUGGUGGGGUGAUGGCCUACCAAGGCGACGACGGGUAGCCGGCCU